rnacentral:lncRNA from 1 species
UGGGACUAGUCAGCAUGCAUCAAUAGGAGAGUUAACUUUUCUUGGGAAGAAAUGAAGUGGAAAUAUGGUUGCUGCCUAAGAAGUAAUAAUAGGAGAUACAGGAAGCAGUUUGAAAUGGAAUAGAAACAACUUGUGAUAGAGGACAGAAGCCAUAUCAGAAGUCACGGAAUUAAUUAUGUGAGUCUGGGAUCAGUGAGAGAUGAAAAUUGAGAAGAAAGAAAACUGUAAGACUCUGUGACUUGAAAAAUCCAGGAGAGACAGGCAACUGAAUUGCUACAUUGUAUUUUCUCUUAAACCCAAGAAAAUUCCCUGUGUUAGAACAACUUGAAUGAAAAGAAGAAUAAACAGGUGUCCAACAAUAACAUUUCCAAGAUAGGAAGAAAGCGAGGGUUCAAAACGGAGGUAAGUAA